rnacentral:rRNA from 1 species
UAGCCGCAGAAUACUGUGCUAAGGUAGCAUAAUCAUUUGUUCUCUAAUUAAGAUCUAGAAUGAAAGGUAAAACGAAUUAAAAAUUAUAAUAAAAAUUCAAAACAAAACUCAAUUAGAAAUUAAAAUGUUUCUACAAAAUAAAAAGACGACAAGACCCUAUCGAACUUAACCUAUGUUAAACUGGGGCAGUUAAAAAACAAAAACUUUAAUUAAAAUAACACUUAUAAACCUUUUAAUAAAAAUAACAAGCUACCGUAGGGAUAACAGCGCAAUUUACUUUUAAAGCUCUUAUUAAAAAGAACGAUUACGACCUCGAUGUUGAAUUAAUAUAUCUAAUAGGAGCAAAAUCCUAAAAGAAAGUCUGUUCGACCUUUAAAAAAUUACAUGAUCUG